rnacentral:rRNA from 1 species
UGCCAGCAGCCGCGGUAAUACAGAGGGUGCGAACGUUGCUCGGAAUUACUGGGCGUAAAGCGCGUGUAGGCGGGACUGCAAGUCAGAUGUGAAAUCCCCGGGCUCAACCCGGGAACUGCACCUGAAACUGCAGACCUUGAGUACUGGAGAGGGCGGCGGAAUUCCUGGUGUAGAGGUGAAAUUCGUAGAUAUCAGGAGGAACACCGGUGGCGAAGGCGGCCGCCUGGACAGUAACUGACGCUGAGACGCGAAAGCGUGGGGAGCAAACAGGAUUAGAUACCCUGGUAGUCCACGCCGUAAACGAUGGGUGCUAGGUGUCUCGGGUAUUGACCCCUGAGGUGCCGUAGCUAACGCGUUAAGCACCCCGCCUGGGAAGUACGGUCGCAAGACUAAAACUUAAAGGAAUUGGCGGGGGAC